rnacentral:rRNA from 1 species
CCCUUAGAGUUUGAUUCUGGCUCAGAACGAACGCUGGCGGCGUGGAUAAGACAUGCAAGUCGAACGGGAAACAGCGGGUAGCAAUAUCUUCCAGUUCUAGUGGCGAAAGGGUGCGUAACACGUGGGUAAUUUGCCGUGAAGUCGGGAACAACUUGCCGAAAGGUGAGCUAAUACCGGAUGUGAUUAUCGAUUGGCAUCAUUUGAUAAUCAAAGCUGGGGAUCGUAAGACCUGGCGCUUCGCGAUAAGCCCGCGUCCUAUCAGCUAGUUGGUGAGGUAAAAGCUCACCAAGGCUUUGACGGGUAGCUGGUCUGAGAGGAUGAUCAGCCACACUGGAACUGAGACACGGUCCAGACACCUACGGGUGGCAGCAGUCGAGAAUCAUUCACAAUGGGCGAAAGCCUGAUGGUGCGACGCCGCGUGGGGGAUGAAGGUCUUCGGAUCGUAAACCCCUGUCAUUUGUGAACAAACCCUGCUAUUUAAAAGAUGGCAGGUUGAUAGUAGCGAAAGAGGAAGGGACGGCUAACUCUGUGCCAGCAGCCGCGGUAAUACAGAGGUCCCAAGCGUUGUUCGGAUUUACUGGGCGUAAAGGGUGCGUAGGUGGCUCUGUCAGUUUGGUGUGAAAGCUCCGUGCUCAACAUGGAAAUUGCACUGAAUACUUCAGAGCUAGAGGAUAUCGGAGGGGAGUCUGGAAUUCCAGGUGUAGCAGUGAAAUGCGUAGAUAUCUGGAGGAACAUCAGUGGCGAAGGCGAGACUCUGGACGAUUCCUGACACUGAGGCACGAAGGCUAGGGUAGCAAACAGGAUUAGAUGCCCUGGUAGUCCUAGCAGUAAACGGUGCACACUUGCUGUAGGCGGAUUCGACCCCGUCCGUGGCGAAGCUAACGCGUUAAACGUGCCGCCUGGGGAGUACGGUCGCAAGAUUAAAACUCAAAGAAAUUGACGGGGGCCUGCACAAGCGGUGGAGUAUGUGGCUUAAUUCGAUGCAACGCGAAGAACCUUACCUGGCCUUGACAUGUAUCUAGUACGACCGUGAAAGGGUGACGAGGUAGCAAUACCAGCUUGCACAGGUGCUGCAUGGCUGUCGUCAGCUCGUGUCGUGAGAUGUUGGGUUAAGUCCCGCAACGAGCGCAACCCUUGUGUCCUGUUGCCACCCGAACGAUGGGAGCACUCUGGACAGACUGCCUUGUCUAAACGAGGAGGAAGGUGGGGAUGACGUCAAGUCAGUAUGGCCCUUACGGCCAGGGCUGCACACGUACUACAAUGCCUGGCACAAAGGGCAGCUAAGCCGCGAGGUGGAGCAAAUCCCAUAAAACCAGGCCCAGUUCGGAUUGUAGGCUGCAACUCGCCUACAUGAAGUCGGAAUCGCUAGUAAUGGCGCAUCAGCUACGGCGCCGUGAAUACGUUCCCAGGCCUUGUACACACCGCCCGUCACAUCAUGAAAGCCGGUUGUACCCGAAGUCGUUGCGCUAACCGAAAGGAGGCAGACGCCGAAGGUAUGGGUGGUGAUUGGGAUGAAGUCGUAACAAGGUAACCAAGGG